rnacentral:rRNA from 1 species
CGUAGGGAGCGAGCGUUGUCCGAAGUUACUGGGCGUAAAGCGCGCGUAGGCGGGCCAUUAAGUGAGAGGUGAAAUUCCAGGGCUCAACCCCGGAACUGCCUCUCAUACUGUUGGUCUUGAGUGAGGUAGAGAGAAGUGGAAUGGCUGGUGUAGCGGUGAAAUGCGUAGAUAUCAGUCGGAACACCGGUGGCGAAGGCGGCUUCUUGGGCCUUUACUGACGCUGAGGCGCGAAAGCCAGGGGAGCGAACGGGAUUAGAUACCCCGGUAGUCCUGGCCGUAAACGAUGGAUACUAGGUGUAGGGGGUAUCGACCCCUCCUGUGCCGCAGCUAACGCAUUAAGUAUCCCGCCUGGGGAGUACGGCCGCAAGGUUG